GAUGAAGAACGCAGCGAAAUGCGAUAAGUAAUGUGAAUUGCAGAAUUCAGUGAAUCAUCGAAUCUUUGAACGCACAUUGCGCCCGCCAGUAUUCUGGCGAGCAUGCCUGUUCGAGCGUCAUUUCAACCAUCAAGCCCCAGGCUUGUGUUGGAGCCCUGCGGCUGCCGCAGCCUCCCAAAACCAGUGGCGGGCUCGCUAUCACACCGAGUGCAGUAGUUUACUCUUCGCUCAGGGCGUGUGGCGGGUGCUAGCCGUGAAACCCCCAACUUCUCAAGGUUGACCUCGGAUCAGGUAGGAAUACCCGCUGAACUUAAGCAUAUCAAUAAGAGGAGGA
rnacentral:misc_RNA from 1 species